GACGAACGCUGGCGGCGUGCUUAACACAUGCAAGUCGAACGGAAAGGCCCUGCUUUUGUGGGGUGCUCGAGUGGCGAACGGGUGAGUAACACGUGAGUAACCUGCCCUUGACUUUGGGAUAACUUCAGGAAACUGGGGCUAAUACCGGAUAGGAGCUCCUGCUGCAUGGUGGGGGUUGGAAAGUUUCGGCGGUUGGGGAUGGACUCGCGGCUUAUCAGCUUGUUGGUGGGGUAGUGGCUUACCAAGGCUUUGACGGGUAGCCGGCCUGAGAGGGUGACCGGCCACAUUGGGACUGAGAUACAGCCCAGACUCCUACGGGAGGCAGCAGUGGGGAAUAUUGCACAAUGGGCGGAAGCCUGAUGCAGCAACGCCGCGUGCGGGAUGACGGCCUUCGGGUUGUAAACCGCUUUCGCCUGUGACGAAGCGAGAGUGACGGUAAUGGGUAAAGAAGCACCGGCUAACUACGUG
rnacentral:rRNA from 1 species